UAAAGGUCGAAAGGGGAGAUUCAGUAUCCAUUCCUCACUGCCGCUCCGCGCCRAGGGUACUMGGGGCGUCCCCUUCGGGGGCACGUCCUAGGCCCACGGCGCGGUCUCGCGCGCGGGAGGUGGAGCGCACUUCUCCCCGAGUAGGACGCCGCGACCCGCUGGGUGUCGGUCUGAGGCCUGGGUGCGAGCCCGUGUCGCGACUUGUCGCGUCGCGGAGCCCCGGUGUCCCGACCGACCGCUCGGCGGUCGAACGUGAGGAACUGGCCCGCGCUCUUUUGCGCGCCCGUGCCGCUUGCGAGCGUCCGGCUGAACCCGUCGUGCGGACUUGUCCGCCGCGGGCCAGUCGGCGUUGUCGGCUUGCGGACUUCUCGGGCAGUCGGCCUCUCCUGUUUGCGGCGCUCAAAGCUGGGCGGCCCACCCGGCCCGUCUUGAAACACGGACCAAGGAGUCUAACAUGUGCGCGAGUCAUUGGGUCCCACUAAACCCAAGGGCGUAUUGAACGAGAAGGCCGGCCUUGCGCCGGCCGAGGGAGGAUGGGGCGUCGCUCGCGGCGCCCCCGCAUUCCCGGGGCGUCUCGUCCUACCGGCGCUCGUCGCCGGAAGGUGAGGCGCACCAAGAGCGCACACGUUGGGACCCGA
rnacentral:rRNA from 1 species